UCUUUGGUGGUCCAGUGGCUAAGACUCUGAACUCCCAAUUCAGGAGCCUGGGUUUGAUCCCCGGUCAGGGAA
rnacentral:tRNA from 1 species